GAUGAACGCUGGCGGCGUGCCUAAUACAUGCAAGUCGAGCGAACAGAUGAGGAGCUUGCUUCUCUGAUGUUAGCGGCGGACGGGUGAGUAACACGUGGAUAACCUACCUAUAAGACUGGGAUAACUUCGGGAAACCGGAGCUAAUACCGGAUAAUAUAUUGAACCGCAUGGUUCAAUAGUGAAAGACGGUCUUGCUGUCACUUAUAGAUGGAUCCGCGCUGCAUUAGCUAGUUGGUAAGGUAACGGCUUACCAAGGCAACGAUGCGUAGCCGACCUGAGAGGGUGAUCGGCCACACUGGAACUGAGACACGGUCCAGACUCCUACGGGAGGCAGCAGUAGGGAAUCUUCCGCAAUGGGCGAAAGCCUGACGGAGCAACGCCGCGUGAGUGAUGAAGGUCUUCGGAUCGUAAAACUCUGUUAUUAGGGAAGAACAUAUGUGUAAGUAACUGUGCACAUCUUGACGGUACCUAAUCAGAAAGCCACGGCUAACUACGUG
rnacentral:rRNA from 1 species